rnacentral:rRNA from 1 species
GACGAACGCUGGCGGCGUGCUUAACACAUGCAAGUCGAGCGGUAAGGCCCUUUCGGGGGUACACGAGCGGCGAACGGGUGAGUAACACGUGAGUAAUCUGCCCUUCACUCUGGGAUAAGCACUCGAAAGGGUGUCUAAUACCGGAUACGACGCACGCACGCAUGUGCUGUGUGUGGAAACUUUUAUGGGUGGGGGAUGUGCUCGCGGCCUAUCAGCUUGUUGGUGGGGUAAUGGCCUACCAAGGCUUCGACGGGUAGCCGGCCUGAGAGGGUGACCGGCCACACUGGGACUGAGACACGGCCCAGACUCCUACGGGAGGCAGCAGUGGGGAAUAUUGGACAAUGGGCGGAAGCCUGAUCCAGCAACGCCGCGUGAGGGAUGACGGCCUUCGGGUUGUAAACCUCUUUCAUCAUCGACGAAGUCCAGCUUUUUGUUGGGUGACGGUAGGUGGAGAAGAAGCACCGGCCAACUACGUGCCAGCAGCCGCAGUAAGAC